UCUCCAGUGGCUCAGUGGUAAAGAAUCUGCCUGCAAUGCAGGAGACUUGGGUUUGAUCCCUAGGUGGGGAA
rnacentral:tRNA from 1 species